rnacentral:tRNA from 1 species
GGGCCGCUAGCUCAAUUGGCAGAGCAGCUGACUCUUAAUCAGCGGGUUGGAGGUUCGAGUCCUCCGCGGCUCA